UUAAAUGGCCGCGGUAUUUUGACCGUGCUAAGGUAGCAUAAUCAUUAGUUUUUUAAAUGGAAGCUCGAAUGAAGGGUUGGAUGAAAAAAAUUCUGUCUUUAUUUUAAUUAUAUAACUUUAUUUUUAAGUUAAAAAGCUUAAAUUUGUUUAGAAGACGAGAAGACCCUAUAGAGUUUAAUAAAAUAAAUUAUUUUAUAAUAUAGAAUUUUAAAUUAAGAUAAUAUAUUUAUUUAAUUGGGGUGAUUUGAAAAUUAAAUAAACUUUUUAUUUUAUAAUAUAUUGAUAAAUAAAUUUAUGAUCCAUUAUAUUGAUUAUAAGAUUAAAUUACCUUAGGGAUAACAGCGUUAUUUUAUUAGAGAGUU
rnacentral:rRNA from 1 species